UACGUAGGGUGCAAGCGUUGUCCGGAAUUAUUGGGCGUAAAGAGCUCGUAGGCGGUUUGUCGCGUCUGCUGUGAAAACUCGGGGCUUAACCCCGGGCCUGCAGUGGGUACGGGCAGACUAGAGUGCGGUAGGGGAGACUGGAAUUCCUGGUGUAGCGGUGAAAUGCGCAGAUAUCAGGAGGAACACCGGUGGCGAAGGCGGCAUCCUGGACCGACAUUGACGCUGAACGGCGAAAGCUAGGGGAGCAAACGGG
rnacentral:rRNA from 1 species